GCAUGUUUUUGGGAGGUACAUGGACAACCAUAUGUACACAGAGAAAAACACACACUCUUCACUUAUGUGUGGUUUUACAGCACAACCUCUUUGUCACUGUUUUCUCCUCCCAUUCUCAUAAAGCUACAGACACCGCUUUCAGUAUUUCUCCUUUUUUAUUUAUAAAGUGAAUAUUUCUGCACCACGGAGUUCUCCACACACCUAGGUCCCGUGAAGGUUCCUGUGUUGUACAAUCAUAUUUUUACUUUGUGCUCAGAGAGGUUUGUUUUUGUGUUUCACAUCAUGUACUGCUCAGAGAACUUGUAUUCAGAUCAGGACACCAAAAUCAUCCGCCUGUCCAUCUUCCUCAUCGCCGGUGUGUGUGCAGGUUUUCCAGCUCUUAUUUGGGCUCUCAGUGUACUGUACCGCCAUUAUAAAAGCGGAAGUCGAACCUCAGCCUUCAUCAUCUAUCUCCUCUACAGUGACCUGCUGGAACUGAUUCUGAAUCCACUCCUUGUAACAUACAUUUUCAAUAAGGACUUUAUUCCAUGUGAAAUCAUUUCUGAUCUUUUGUUUAUAGGCAGACUGUAUGGACAAUUGCUUCACCAGAUAGUGGCCUUAGAAAGUAUUUGCCAAAGAUAUCCAUUAAUUUCUGAUGUUUUCACUCCUCCCUGCUCUAUCAUCUUCUGUAUCAUUUUUCGUCUAGCUUCUGGUUGUCAUUUCAUACAUACACGGAUCACUU